rnacentral:rRNA from 1 species
UACAGAGGGUGCGAGCGUUAAUCGGAAUUACUGGGCGUAAAGCGUGCGUAGACGGUUAUUUAAGUCGGAUGUGAAAGCCCCGGGCUCAACCUGGGAAUUGCAUUCGAGACUGAAUAGCUAGGGUACGGUAGAGGGAAGCGGAAUUUCCGGUGUAGCGGUGAAAUGCGUAGAUAUCGGAAGGAACAUCAGUGGCGAAAGCGGCUUCCUGGACCAGUACCGACGUUCAGGCACGAAAGCGUGGGGAUCAAACAGG